CGGUGUUUAACUGGCGUGAUGUGGGACGUCCUACCGGUGGGCUUAGCCUCGCGAGGGGCGGCCCAACUAAUAUCCCGUCGCGGUGCUCUUUACUGAGUGUCGAGUCGGGCCGGUACGUUUACUUUGAACAAAUUAGAGUGCUUAAAGCAGGCUAUCCUCGCCUGAAUACUGCGUGCAUGGAAUAAUGGAAUAGGACCUCGGUUCUAUUUUGUUGGUUUUCGGAACCCCGAGGUAAUGAUUAAUAGGGACAGAUGGGGGCAUUCGUAUUGCGACGUUAGAGGUGAAAUUCUUGGAUCGUCGCAAGACGGACAGAAGCGAAAGCAUUUGCCAAAAAUGUUUUCAUUAAUCAAGAACGGAAGUUAGAGGUUCGAAGGCGAUCAGAUACCGCCCUAGUUCUAACCAUAAACGAUGCCAGCUAGCGAUCCGCCGAAGUUCCUCCGAUGACUCGGCGGGCAGCUUCCGGGAAACCAAAGCUUUUGGGUUCCGGGGGAAGUAUGGUUGCAAAGCUGAAACUUAAAGGAAUUGACGGAAGGGCACCACCAGGAGUGGAGCCUGCGGCUUAAUUUGACUCAACACGGGAAACCUCACCAGGCCCAGACACCGGAAGGAUUGACAGAUUGAUAGCUCUUUCUUGAUUCGGUGGGUGGUGGUGCAUGGCCGUUCUUAGUUGGUGGAGCGAUUUGUCUGGUUAAUUCCGAUAACGAACGAGACUCUAGCCUGCUAAAUAGGCGUACCUUAUGGUAUCGCGAAGGCCCCCGGCUUCGGCCGGUGGGUUUUUACUACCAACGUACAAACAAAUCUUCUUAGAGGGACAGGCGG
rnacentral:rRNA from 1 species